AGUAAAAAGUUCUUUAAAAAUGUACUUCUUAUAUACCAUUUAAAUAUUUAGAAAUUUAAGUAUAGGAAAUUGGUUGUUGUCUCAAAUAUGUAAUAAUUUUGGAUGAAAUACAAAUAAUUUUAAAAUCACUUGUUGUAUACUAGUAAAACAAAAGGUAAAUGUUCUAAAGUCAAAAAAAUCAAAAGUUGGCUAUUGCACUCUAGAUUAUGUAUUUAUCCAUUUAUUAAUACAAAUUUUUUAAAAAUAUUUUUUUAGUUGUAGUGGGACACAAUACCUUUAUUUUAUUUAUUUUUAUGUGGUGCUGAGGAUUGAACCCAGCGUUCCACAUGUACUAGGCGAGCGCACCACCGCUGAGCCACAACCCCAGCCCUCCAUAUAGAUUUUCGUCUUUGCUUUUAUGCCUACUAUUGAACCUAGGAAAAUUAUUUUAUUUUGUCAAUACUUUCAAAUCAUGAAGCUAAUCAUCAUUGACAUGACCAUAAAUAGAAAAAAAAAUGAGAAAUAAGAAAGAAGCACAUCCAGAAAGAUGGAGCAAGAUCUCCAAGAUCCAAUUCCUCCACAACAGCAGCAAGAAUACUGACCAGCCUUUUCAUAUCUCUGAAAAUUAAUUGAAGGCUGUGGAAGUCUGUGGAGUAUUUAUUCAAGCAUGUAUUGAGCUGAAACUUGGUAAUAAUAGUAAGCUUGGCAGAUUUUUAAUCUGUCCUAUCUGUGCAUCUUUCUCUGGCUUUCCGUUUAUGAGGGCUGGUUUUUAACAAUCCCAGAGAAUUGUCACUGGACUUUUCUGCUAGCUUGCUUACCAGCUUGAGGUCCAGUGUUCACAACGUGUAUUUGAAUGACACGGAGCCUUGCUUUGAUAAAGAUGCAGACGGUAGUGCAGACAGAUCCCACAGCUUCCCCAUCGUGAGGCCACAGGGUUUUACCUGUGGGAAGCUGCUCUUGCAAGGGAACAGUGCCAGUGCAGAAGUACAAUUCCUAACUCCAGAGACUUCUACCUUGAAAGUAUCUUCCUCCUUCCAAAUAGAGUCAAGGCCCUGGUUGCAUAUUUCUCCCCAGAGGAAUUGUCACUAGCUGAACUAACAUUCCUUCCUUACCAAAGGAAAGGAAAAGAUUUUAAACUUGAAAGCACCACAACAUUAAAAACAAACAAGCCAACAAUAUAGAUAAACAGAUACAUAGACCCGAGAGAGGAGUUAAAUGAGCAAACAAAAUCUUGUCAGAGAAAUGGGGGUUGUUCCAAAUACUGUAGGGUGGCUCAGUCAGUUUUGUGUUCAGGCAGAUUUUGUCUUGCCUUCCUCUGCCAUAGAGUCCAGGAAACUGAAAAUCUACCAUCAAAACACUGCUUUUUGGAGGUCAAUCAUCAUCUAGCUACUAUGAGGAAAAGGCAGUGGGAAGGAAAGACCUUGGCCUGACCAUUCUGAACUACUGAACCAAUGCCAGCAACCACUUCCAAACCUCUUGUUAUUUGUGAAAAGUAAACAGGCUAAUUUAUUUAAGAAACUACUUAAUCUGAUUUUCUGUUACUCACAGGAUAAGUCAUUCCUAACUGAUGCAGAUAGGAAAUUGGACAUAUGAAGCAGAAAAAGUCAUUUAUAUAAUUCAACUGGAAAUACUUAGUAUGAAAAAUAUGAUGGCUUAACUAAAGAUCUAAACAGAACGGUUCAGCAACAAUGGAUGUGAUAAAAGACAAAUUAGAAAGCUGGAAGAUGACGUCCAGGAUCUUUCCCAGAAGGAACCUGAAAGAGAUAAAAAUACAGACAUUUAACAAAAUUAAGAGUUAUUAAAAAAUGAAGUAGAAGCACCAAUAUCAGAAUAAGAGGUAUUUCUGAUAUAAAAACAAUGAAAUAAAGUCAUUGAAAAAUAAUGGCUAAGAUUUUCUCAAAUUAAGGAAACAUAUUCAUGCAUUUAAUUGAAAGAUUUUAUGCAGUAUAAAGCAAAUAGAUAAAUGAGCUUACACCAAUAUAUCUAUGAUGAAAUAUAAAAAAAUCAAAUGACUUUGAGAAAUUAAAAGCAGAUUACCCCAAUCUCUCAAGAGCUGUGUUAUCAGAUUGCUCAAUGGCAAUAUUGGAUAAUGGAUUACUAUUUUUAUUUUUGAUAUUGAUUAUUAAAGCCAGAGCCUCAUACAUGCUAAGCAAAUGUUCUACCACAGAGUCACACCCUCUCUCCACCCCAGAAAUACUAUUUUUAGAGUGUUGAAUAAAAGAUAUUUGAUUAUCACUUGAAUGCAUGAAAAACAAAUUCUCACAUGCAUAAUGCUUCAGAGGGCUUACCAUGCAAAGCUUCUUUUUUAAAAAUACUCUAGAACAAAGAUCAGAGAUACAGACUGUGGGGCAAAGCUUGUCCAUUUUGUACAUAAAGCCUUACUGGAACACUGUUCUGUUCAUUCAUUUAUAUAUUGUCCAAGACUCAUUUCCUGCUGUAAUGGCAUAGUUGAGAUGUGACAGAUUAUAUAUUCGACAAGCCUAAAAUAUUUACUGUUAGAGAAAUGUUAUCAUUAGAGAAAAAGUUUGUUAACCUCUUAAGCAAGAAAAUAAAUAAAUCUAGGACAUUUUGAGAUGAGGGAAGUUAGGAUGAGUAAAUAACUUAGUAAAUGAUAAAGGACCAAACCAAAAUAUAUCCCAAAGAAUCCAGAGCUGAAGUAUUUUAUAUGAUGACCACACAAGAGGGAAGACACCGUGAAAAUGGAAAUUUCUGGUAAAGCAUUUGGCUUGUGCAUGCAACACUGUGGGUCUUCAGGUUUAUGCUGAUCAAGAGCAUCACAUCUAAGGAGGUGCCAUUCACAUUAUCCAUAGGCACAUCUUCAGGAGAUAAUCGGAGCCUGAGUUCUGCUCACUCACAUCAUUGCCUUUCCGGGAAGGUGGUAGGGUUGAGGCAUGAAACUGCAUGUGUUUUCAUGUAUGAUGUUUGAGCUGCUAAGAGGGUAGCAAAUGUGGGCCUGUAGCUAUGUAGGGCUCUGGAAAACCCUCUGAGAUAAUUUAAAAUUAUUUUUUCUUGAGGAAAGUUUCCCUUUUUCUAAUUCAUACAAAAUUUUCCCCAGAGCUAACAGCUGCCAUUUUAAAGAGGGGCAAUUUUUCUAUGAUAGGUUUUUAAGUGAUAGGGGAAGGUAAGUAGAUGUGUGUUGUCAAUAAAUUAGUGGCAACCACUGAGAGUAUAAAAAUAAAACCAGCAGAAGAAUGGUCUGUUUCACCAAUGGAAGACAGGAGAAGAGGGGGUGGGGAAUAGAAAACAUGUUAAAUAGAAAUGCAAAAUAGUCUGUCAGAAAUAAAUCCAAAUGUAACAGCAAUUAUAAUAAAUAUAAAUGCAUAAAACCAAUUGAUCCAAAAGCAGAUGCUCAGAUUAGAUUUUAAAAUGAUGACAGUUAAGCAAGAGAAUCAAAUGACUGUAUCUCCAUGGAAACAUAGACAUGACAUGGUAGUUGUCAAGUGAUAGUUUUGAAAAUGAAAGUUUAACUUGUUUAGGACCAAAUUUGUCAUAAGGAGCUAUCUGAUGUGAUAAGAAGACGUUGAGGCUAGGUGCAGUCACAGAGAAAUUCACAAUCUCAUUUAGUUUGGAUAUAAGUUGAUCAGUUAAUAGGAUAUAAGUUAAUUAUGAUAAAAAUAGAAAACAUAAUCCAAUGACUUUCUUAAAAAACUGCUUAUAUAAAAUAUUGGUAAUGUUCUUCCAUAAACUUUAUUAUUUUCUAUUUAACAUUUUAUCAAUAGGUUGCAAACUACUGAAUCCAAUCUAGUUUUGAACCAGACAGCAAGAAUGGAACACUUUCUUAAUUUUUAUGAUUAACUUAGUUAAUUUAAUAUGAUUUUUAUAUUUAAAAAAGAAUGAAAAAACACAAUAGACAUUAUCAUGGGGAACAUACUAAUUUCUACCCAAUAAAUACCUACUUCCAAUAAUGUAUCUUGGUGUUAAAGAGUAAAGUAAUAUAGAGCAUAUAUUCUGUUUUAUAGAGUUUAUGAAACAAAAGCCAUUCUAUACAAUAUUUAAACAAAUUGAGUACCACUUUGGUCCUUCACAGUGUUGUCUGAAAAUGUUUAUACUCCAGAAUUUCAAAAUUUCCUUCAGUUUUCUGUGCCUGUAAUUGUAAUGAAAGAGAAAAAUAACACCUAGAGAAUAGUCACAUUAUAGGAGCAAUGGUUUCAUUACCACAUUCUUCUGUAAAUGUUUUCCAAAAUUAAAUAUUUAAACUCUAAAUACUCUAAUGUCAUGAAAAUGAAUAACUCAGGAAAUGGGAAACUUGGCUUUGAGACUUUACAAAGGAUGUUUGACUAGAAAACAGGUCAUUCCAUUCCUAUAGUCAUUGGGUAACACAAUACAAAUGGCAAAAGAAAAUACAUUAGUUGUGAACUUCUUAAAAAAUUUUUUGAAGCCAAAUCUAGGUUAGAAUCAGCUAUGGAGUCAACAUCUUGUGUCCAUUAGUGAAUUAGUUGAAGCCUGGGGAAGUGGAGGACAAGAGAGAGAAGUAGAAAGUUUGGCUGGCUAGGGGAAAGCAGGGCUGUGUUAGGCCCGUGGAGGAGUGAAGAACAGAAACCAUAAAGCCCUCUGCUACAUGACUUUGUUUCCACUGAUUACCACAGGAAGGGCAGGACGUCUUGUGAUUAUUGGUUAAUACUGCAGAGGCUCAUUUGAAAAGGGUAACUUUAAGAUAACUUUCAGCUGAGGAUAAAUAGCUAUGAAAUUCCUAAUUUAGUGCAGGUUUCUUAGGAUAAAGCUUUAUGAAUACAUUGCUCUAGAUGACAGUUUGUAUCUCUCCCCCAAAUUCACACAUUAGAACAUAACUUCCAAUUAUUAGGAGGUGAAGGCUUUGGGAAGUAAUUAGAUCAUGAAGGCACAACCCUCAUGAAUGAGAUUAGGGCCCAUAUAAGAGAGAUCCCAGAAAACUCCCUUGUCUCUCUAUCACGUGAGGACACAGGGACAAGACUGCUGUCUAUGAAUCAGGAAAUUGUUCUUCACCAGACAAGAAAUCUACCUGCACUUCAGUCUUGGACUUCCCAGUCUUUAAAACUGUACAAAAUAAAUUCUGUUGUUUAUAAGUCACCUAGGCUAUGGCAAUUUGUGAUAGCAGCCCAAACAGAUUGAGAUACUCAUUCUAGUAAACAAUAUCAGCAUUUAUUCUAGUUGAAAAUAAUUUGUGUGACUUCUGCACUUUUCUUCCUCCUCUUCUUCUUCCUCUUCAGAAAUAUAUGUUACAUGUGAUAUAUGGGUAUAGAAUAAUAUGGGAGCCCAUAGGAACAUUACUUGCCUCAAUUUUGAAGAUCAAGGAAGAUUAUCUGGAGAGAGUGCAAUUUUUAACUGAGAUUGGAAACCUGCAUUCAAUCUGAUCAAGGUCAUCACUAACUUUUACAUUGCCAAGUACAGUAGAAGAGUUCUGUUUUCUGGCUGACUUCUGCACCAUACUCAUUCUUUACCUGACUUCCAAGUUAUCAGCCUUAUGGCUUUCCCUCUAUCUUACACACUGUGUCUGCUUAGAAUCACCGUCUGGGUGUUCCUGUUUUUCUUGAACACUUCAUGUUAGAGUGCCCAGGGUUUCAGUGCUUUGGCUUCUUCUUUUCAACAUCUCUACUUAAUUCCUUGAUGACUUCAUAUACUCUUAUGGAUCUGAAUGUCAUUCAUAUACUGAUAACUUUCUAAUUUUUAGGCCUAAAUAUUGCAGAUUUAAUUAUCUCCUCCACAUUUCCCCUUAACAGUCUAACAAACAUUUAAAAGUCAACAUACAUAAAAUGGAAGUUCUGCUAUGCCCAUCUAAACCAGUUUAUUUUGUGGCUCUCUUUGUUUCAGUUGAUGUAAAUUCCAUCCUUCUAAGUUCUUAGGACAAAAUCCUACAGUCACUUUUGAGCCCUUUCUUUUAUUCAUACCUCAUAUUUUUUCUUAUUCAUUUUCUUCUUCUUUUUUUUUUUUUUUUUUUGGUUCUGAGGGCUGAACCCAUGAGAGGCUUCAUACGUGUGAGGCAAACACUCUACCCUCAGCUACAUGCCAAGCCUACCUCAUAUUCCUUCGGUCAGGAAAUUCCAUGGCUUUGUUUUUGACAUAUAUACAUAAUUCAUUUCUUCUCAACACCUCCAUUGCUGUCACCUUGUGCUAUUAACUAUAUUCAGGACUUCAUGAUCCAGACAAUAUUGCUGAAAGUUGUUUUGCAUUAAGGAACACCAGGCUUAGAAGUGUGGAAUAUAAAAGAUGGAAGAACUGGUUAUUCUUCAUGGAAGCAAAGUCUUAAUGCUUUUUUUGAUAUGCUUUAUACAUCUGACAGAUUUCUGGACACAUGCACUAUAAAGUACAAACUUUCUUCAGUUCCAAUUUUUGAAAUGUUUCAUCCUUUAAGAAGAAGGGAAUCAUUUGAUUUUUAAAAUGACAGCAGCAUCUCAUUGCUUUCUGUAACCGGCUAAAUCCUGAAAUGUUCUGGAUAUGUUUCUGGUCAAGAGAAUCUUCCUGGUGCUUUUGUACUUUCAGAAGGAUAAUCCAUAACAGUUCUGCAUUGUACUGAAUUCUGCACUGUGGCAUAUAGAAUAAAACUGGCUUUUAGCACCAAAGUUUUCUAUAAAAUAUUGAAUGAAGAAAAGAACAGUAAAAAUCAAACCUGGGAAAAUUGGAAGAUGGCCCUGCUGUGGUGUCCCAUUCUUCCUGCUAAGGACAAUACCGGAAGAGUCAGCUCCAUGAACAGACAGGAAGGCAGAACACUAUACCAGCAAUGUUUCAGUCACAUUUCUUGAGAGCUACAUUUGGAGGUCUAAUAAAUUUGGGGUUUGCAUUUUUUAUUCUUUGAAUGCUCCCACUUAAAAUGUGGGAAUCUAUGUCAUAUAACUUUGAAGUGCUGAGUACUUCAUUUAGCUAAGUGGAAAGAUGUAUAGAAGAAAGAUAACAAUCUCUUUUUGGAAGGAGGUCAGAAUGGAUGGGUGAUGCAGGAGGCAGGAAGAUGGAAGAAAAUCAAAUAGGAGCACAGAAGAUGAAUAUUGUAAGCCCUGUAAUUAUAUUAUAGUUUCUUCUUUAGCCAAACCUGCCCAUUGGUCUGGUGGAAGUAGGAGGAAAGAGGAGGAUGCAGGGAACCAUAUUUACUUAUUAAUUCGUGUGUGUGUGUUUGAGUGUGGGUGGUGGUAUGGGGCCAUGAGUUCAUAUAAUAAACAAAUUUCUACAAAGGAAUAUUUGAUAUAAGGAUCUCAGUGAAUCAUCAAGAAUUGAAAUUAGUUUCUUUUCAAUAAAAUGUCAAGUGUAGGUGAAAUUACCAAAGAUGGAAUGUUAUAAGAAUCUGAAACCUUUUUCAAAAUCAAUCUUUAAUAAAAUAGAAUGUGGAUAAUGAAUAAGGACUUCUCAUUAGAAGCUAUUUAACAAUGAGACAUCACAAAAGGUUGAUAAUAAAACUUUCCUGAUAGUCAUA